rnacentral:tRNA from 1 species
GGGGCGUUAGCUCAAGUGGUAGAGUGCUUGCCUAGCAUGCGAGAAGUGGUGGGAUCGAUUCCCACGUCCUCCA